AGAGUCGGCCAGACAGUCGCUGUGCGUGUUUUACGCAUGGAGGAAAGUCCGGGCUCCAUCGGGCAAGGUGCCAGGUAACGCCUGGGGGGCGCGAGCCCACGGAAAGUGCAACAGAAAGAAACCGCCCAAGCGCCGCAAGGCGACGGCAAGGGUGAAAUGGUGCGGUAAGAGCGCACCGCGCCGUCGGUAACGACGGUGGCACGGCAAACCCCACCUGGAGCAAGGCCAAAUAGGGAAGCACGCGGUGCCAAUGGCCGCAACUGUGGCUCACAGGGGGCUUCCGGGUAGGUCGCUUGAGGUGCGCGGCGACGCGCAUCCCAGAGGAAUGACUGUCCAAGACAGAACCCGGCUUAACGGCCGACUCUUUUC
rnacentral:RNase_P_RNA from 1 species